GCUGGCGACUAGCGCGACGGGGCCACACCCGUUCCCAUCCCGAACACGGUCGUUAAGCCCGUCAGCGCCGAUGGUACUGCCCCUGCGAGGGGGUGGGAGAGUAGGCCGCCGCCAGCU
rnacentral:rRNA from 1 species